CCAGAUUAUCAAAACGCGUAUAAGCUAGAAGAACCCUUUGGAGGCUGAUCGAUUUCUUGCGAUCCUCUCAUCGGCGCCGACGCUCUCGUAUCGAUUUCCUGUUAAUCGAUCUCGAUUCAUCUUGCCGGUAAGGCCUUCCGAUACCUGUGAAUUUCUCGCGGGUUCCCACAAAAAUCGAGGUUCUAGGGUUUCUGUUAUUCGCCGAUUUGGCAUCUGAUUGAUGUUCUUUGAUCUGUGCGUCUGUGUUCAUUUGUAAUUGAAGUUUUUGUGAAUUGUAUUCUCUGUCUGUCUGUGUUGAUUGAAUUGGGGUCUGAAGGGAAAAAAGGCUGAAUUUUUUUUUUUGGGGGAUUGAGGAUUGGUUAGGGUUUGAAUAAAAAUUGAAUUUGAUAAAGUUGAAAGUGAUUUUGACUCUUUGGGAAUUCAGGGAUUUGAAAUUUUCUAGGGGUUAUUGUGUUUUGAUUUCAAUUGUUGAGUUUGACCACUGAUUAAGAAGAGCUGUGCUUGUUAAUCAUAUGGCGACAGGGCGAGUCGAUGUUUUGAGGAGGAGGGAUUCUUAUAAUUACUUGAAAAGGGAAUUUGAGUAUUAUAGGAAUGGGGUUUCUCGUGGUGAUGUAGGUCAUGGUCGCAGUGAUGAACUCAAACAUAGGAAUGGAUUCCAUCAAUCUUCCAAUGUGCGCGAUUCACGGGGAUAUGGACGGCUUCCAAAUGCCCCAGAGCCAUUGGUUAAGAAUGGCAAAACCCGAAGGAGUGAAGAUGCGGCUCAAUUACCUGCUGAGAAGAAGAUUGAAUUUAGUGAUGAUGUCAAACAUAAGAAUGGACUCCAUCGUUCUUCCAAAAUGUGUGAUUCACAAGGAUCUGGAUGGCUUCCAAAUGCCCCAGAACUAGUGGUUAAGAAUUGCAAAACCCGAAGGAGUGAAGAUGCUUAUCAAUCACCUCCUGAGAAGAAGAGGAAGUUUUCUCCUAUUAUAUGGGACAAAGAAGAGAAGGAAGUGAGAGUCUCAUCGAAGAAUAGAGUUGUUCCUGUUAUUCCUCUGCCCUCCCCUCAUCCAGAUGUAGCAAGAUUACCUGCUAUUGCUAAGGUUGAGGAUGUUGUUUCUGUUGGAGUUCCUUCCAAGUCUCUGGCUAGAGUGGUGGAGUCUCUGGAAGUGGAGGUUUCCGAAAUUUCUGAUGUUUCUCAAUUUGAGGCACCAGCCGAUCUCUCUGCACUACUACAUCCUCAGAAGGUUGGGGAAGAUGAGCAGGUGCAAAAGAACAAGGAAGACAAAGAAUUUUUCUAUCAACGUGACAUCUCAUUGUCAAAAUGGUCAUCCGAUAGUGAUUCCCCAAGGGAUAUCUCUGAUGACAGCUCGCCUGAAAGUGGGGAGAUUCGGAUAGAAAGCUCUAGGUUGAGUCGGGCUAGAACUUCUGGCUCUGACAAAGAAGACAGCUUUGAAAAGCCUGGCAGUGGAGAUACACUUUAUGGAGACGAGUUAUGUGAUGGUGCGCAUAUGGAUGCUGAUAAUUAUGGUGGGAAUGCUGACGAUAGCCAGUUCUACUCUGAUUCUGAAGAUGAUUCUGAUCUUUCUCAGAUUGAAGAGCCAGAAGUGCCUACACAAAAAUGUAUAAACAUGCUUCAAGGUUGCAGAAGUGUGUUGAGUAUGAAAGGCUCAACCAUAUAAGUGAAGGCACUUAUGGUGUUGUCUUUAGAGCCAGAGAUAAAAAGACCGGAGAAAUUGUCGCAUUGAAGAAGAUGAAGAUGGAUGUGGAUAAGGGAUGUGAUGGUUUCCCUAUGUCGGCAUUGAGAGAAAUAAACAUUCUCUUGUCCUUUAAUCACCCUUCUGUUGUUGGUGUUAAGGAAGUUGUUAUGGAUGACUUUGAUGGUGUUUAUAUGGUAUGGAGCAUAUGGACCAUGACUUGAAGGGGCUAAUGGAGUCAAUGAAGCAGCCAUUUAGUAUUGGUGAAGUUAAGUACUUGAUGAAACAACUUUUGGAGGGUGUAGAGUAUCUUCAUGACAAUUGGAUCCUUCACAGAGAUCUGAAAACAUCAAAUAUUCUGUUGAAUAACGAGGGUGAGUUGAAAAUAUGCGACUUUGGGUUGUCACGACAAUAUGGGAGUCCACUAAAGCCAUAUACUUCUUUAGUUGUCACUUUGUGGUACCGGGCACCUGAAAUUCUAUUAGGUGCAAAACAGUACUCUACAGCAAUUGAUAUGUGGUCAGUAGGUUGCAUAAUGGCUGAAUUGUUGGCGAAGGCACCUCUCUUUAGCGGGAAAGAUGAAAUUGAGCAGCUGGACAAGAUCUUCAAAACUCUUGGUACACCAGAUGAGAAAAGUGGUUUGUCCAAAUUGCCGGGCUUCAAAGCUAAUUUUGUUAAGCAACCGUACAAUCUUCUGCGCAAGAAAUUUCCUGCCGCAUCUUUCACUGGUUCAUGCCCAGUGCUCUCUGAAUCUGGGUUUGAUUUGCUGAAGAGGCUCUUAUGUUAUAACCCUGCGGAGCGAAUAACAGCGACGGAUGCCCUCAACCAUACCUGGUUUCACGAGUCCCCUGAACCAAGAAGGGAUUUCAAGCCAAUUACUCCUGAUCGACAUGUUCACGACCGGCACCUUAACAGCAGGCGGCGUGAGAAAAUUUUACAGCAAUAAUCUUAGCCUGUUCUUUUUGCAGUUCUUUAUAUUUUGCUAACCUGAUGGCAGCUAGAAAGUACAACAAAGACCUCUACUGUAGGGUCCUUUAGGAUAGCUGGAGCAAAGGAGUUGCAAGGUGUGUCAGUCGGCACUAAUGGUUUAUCCUGUUAAGAGCAGCUUAAUAGCGGUGCACAGUCUUCCUAUAUGAAGGUGUGGCAAAAUGUUGAGAAGAAAAGAGAACUUUUUGUUUUUUUUCCCACAUUCUUGAACCUGUGUAUAUAUGUUCACAUUGGAAUGAUAUUAUUUUUAUCAAUGUCGUCUUCAUUAUUUGUA